AGUGAACGCUGGCGGUAGGCCUAACACAUGCAAGUCGAACGGCAGCACAGUAAGAGCUUGCUCUUACGGGUGGCGAGUGGCGGACGGGUGAGGAAUACAUCGGAAUCUACUUUUUCGUGGGGGAUAACGUAGGGAAACUUACGCUAAUACCGCAUACGACCUACGGGUGAAAGCAGGGGAUCUUCUGACCUUGCGCGAUUGAAUUAGCCGAUGUCGGAUUAGCUAGUUGGCGGGGUAAAGGCCCACCAAGGCGACGAUCCGUAGCUGGUCUGAGAGGAUGGUCAGCCACACUGGAACUGAGACACGGUCCAGACUCCUACGGGAGGCAGCAGUGGGGAAUAUUGGACAAUGGGCGCAAGCCUGAUCCAGCCAUACCGCGUGGGUGAAGAAGGCCUUCGGGUUGUAAAGCCCUUUUGUUGGGAAAGAAAAGCAGCAGGUUAAUACCCCGCUGUUCUGACGGUACCCAAAGAAUAAGCACCGGCUAACUUCGUG
rnacentral:rRNA from 1 species